GCCGCGUGCGGGAUGAAGGCCCUCGGGUUGUAAACCGCUUUCAGCAGGGAUGAAAUUGACAGUACCUGCAGAAGAAGCCCCGGCUAACUACGUGCCAGCAGCCGCGGUAAUACGUAGGGGGCAAGCGUUAUCCGGAUUCAUUGGGCGUAAAGAGCGCGUAGGCGGAUUGUUAAGUCGGAUGUGAAAACCGGGGGCUCAACCCGCGGCCUGCAUCUGAAACUGGCAGUCUUGAGUCUGGUAGAGGAAAGUGGAAUUCCUGGUGUAGCGGUGAAAUGCGCAGAUAUCAGGAGGAACACCAGUGGCGAAGGCGGCUUUCUGGGCCACGACUGACGCUGAGGCGCGAAAGCUAGGGGAGCAAACAGGAUUAGAUACCCUGGUAGUCCUAGCCGUAAACGAUGGGCACUAGGUGUGGGGGGUCAUCGACUCCCUCCGUGCCGAAGCUAACGCAUUAAGUGCCCCGCCUGGGGAGUACGGCCGCAAGGCUAAAACUCAAAGGAAUU
rnacentral:rRNA from 1 species